CUCAGGUGAUCCGCCCACCUUGGCUUCCCAGAGUACUGGGAUUACAGGCAGGAGACACCAUGCCUGGCCUUAGAUAUGCAAACUGAAGUUUAAAAAGCUUAGUUCUCUUGCCCAAGGUCUCAUAGCUAGUAAACAUAAAAGAAAAAAAAAAAAAACCUCAGUCAGAAUGGCAGCAUGGGAAGCCCACCUAACUCUCUUCUCUGAGUCCUUUGCCUAUUAAGAAAAACUCUCACCUCCUGGUCCAGGCACGAAACAACACUGUCUAUCCGACAGAGCCUGGGCUGGGAGCAGCACAGGGUCUAGACUUGCCUCUGCGUAGACCUCAGUGUAUUCUAAGAUCCUACUUUUCUUGGCCUGUUUCUCCAUCUACAAAGUGGAAGUCAUGUUCCUUGCCCCUCCCAGCACUUAAAGCUAUUAUAGAGAGGAAUGAGUUCAAAGGUAUGAAAACAUGUAGGAAGGAAAACGUACAAACGAUCUUCUAGAGUGACUUAUAAUAAAACUCUAGGCAUAUACCUCCAUGCUUAACUCCCUUCUUAGGCAUUCUCCUUUUGACUUCUAAGCAAGCAAGAUGUUCUAUCAUAAAAAGACAAUCAGUUGCAUUCACUGAAAGUAGAAAAAUGGACUCUCACAUUGAUGAAUGAUAGCAAACGACAAAGGCCGAUAUAGACAAGGUUUCCUGGUUAACCUUCAGUUCACCAAAAAGUCCUUUGAUUACAUCUUCUCUGAGCAUCCUAGUUAAUCAAGGCUUGUCGAGCAGAUCCUCACUCUCGGCUGUAAAGGCCUCUGCUCUUCCCCAUGUCCCUCUUCUUGUGCCCCUUAUAGUCUGCCCUUUACUCACUGCCCAGAUUGGACUCCUUCUCCCAGAACAGCAGGUAAAUUCAAUUAUCUUGGGGCUGAGUACGUAAAUUUUAGGCCUAGGCAUCCCUCCUAGAGACUCCAGAGUUGUCAGUUCCUUUAAAGUCAUUAAUACACAUAUACGGGUACGGAUGUGCUUCCACUGUGAUUCCACUCUUGGUGACAGCUGGGAAAGAGGCCCCACCACCUGACCCACCCGUCACAACACCCACCAUCCCCAUCUCAGACACGGAGCUCCAGAGACUGCCACCCUCCCUUCCCCUCCCCUGGGCCCCUCAGUGGCACCUCGAUGCUGCCAGUCUCUCCAGGCCUGCUGUGGCUUUUAGAAAACAGAGCAUGUCUAUUUUUAGCCCUUCUCAGCCUAAUAAUACUCCCCAACACCCAUUCAGCUUAAUCACUUUAUUGAGGACAAGAAGCGGGCUCUCUAGCCCGGGUGCUUCUGAUGUUAGGAAGUAGUAAAAUGUUCAAACUGGUUAAAAAUGACACUCAUUGGCUUGCCUUUGGUGUUUCUGAAACCUUAAUUGUGGCUCAGGCUGUGGAUCUAAAGAGCCUUGCAGGUUUCAGAGUCUGGCUUCCUUACCCCCUGCACCAUAAUUGAGGUGUUACAUUACAACUACGGCACUGACAUUUGCAGGCUCAAAAUUCAGCAGCCUUAAGAUGCCACACUUUUCAAAACAGAAAUAUUGCCUGCCACACUUAAUGCCUAUUCUAAGUACGAACCACCUCCCUGCCGGAAAAAAACAAACCAAAACAAAACAAAACUCGUCUUUUCUGGCUCCUCCCAUGCCAGAGGUCCAGGUGGGAAACUAUUUGCCAUAUUAAGCCCAUAGCUGCUUGAAAACAGAAAGGUUUGUUUGGUGUAAUUAGAAGACCUGCGAGUUUGGUGUGUGCAGGAAAUAGACUGUUGGCAGCUCUUCCACGUGCACCUUUGAGACCGUGACUUCCAAAGCUUCAGGGUGAGCAUCUGCAAACGUGCAAUCUGUACCACGUGAGCUGUGGGCUGGGAGAAAUGGGCAGCCUGGAAAGGGGAUGGAAACAACUUUGCCGCAGAGGUUAAGACCAGGGGCUUCAGGGUCAGGCAGCCCUGGGGUCACAGCGCAGCUCUGUCUCUUACUUGCUAGGUGAUCUUGGGCAAGUAAACUCAGUCUCCUCAUCUGUAAAAUGGAUGUCCUAACAGUACCAACUUGAAAUGGGUCUUGUGAGGCUCAAAUGAGAUGACGAAGUAAAGCAAUCUGGCACAGUACCUGGCACCUGUAGGCCUCCAGGAAAUGUCAGCUGCCACUGUCAUUAUCUCUGGUUUCCUCCUUUCUACCAUGGGCUCCUUCUAAGGCAAAGUGUUCAGUUUUUGUCUCUUCUGCCUUGCCCAGGACAAAAAGGAAAUCUGGGCACUAGAAUGGCUAACCAUGGCCAGCUGUGUGCGGUCGCAGGACAUUCUUGGACAUGUAGUAGGGAACUCCUAUGGACUCGGAGUGGGUAGAUGGAGCUGGACCCACAGCAGGAGGAUUGAGGGGAUGAUUUCUCAGGUUCCAUUCAGCUAAGCGAGUGAAAGGCACGUCCAAGGCCUGGAAACUCACCUGGACCAGGCUCUUCUACACUCCUGGGCAGCUUCCCCUGCUGCUCCUGUCUCCCUUUCCUUCCUUCUCAGGCAGGGUGCUUUGAAGCACCUUCAUAAACGUCCUGCUCUUCAGCAGGCAGAGGCGGAACGCCUCAUUAACUUUCCUAGCUAAUUUUACAAUUUAACCAAACACCACAUUUCUGCUUCGAUUCAGCCAGCCUCUGACUGUGACAAACUUUUAUAAUGUUGAGAUGGAGGAAGGAAGCAGAUAGUCCGUGCCAGAGACUGAGAUAAAGUUCUGAAAACUAAAGUGGGAGACGGAGAGUAGGAAAAAAAAAUAGCUCUGUGAACUCUAUGUAUGCUCCCAAAGCAGAAUUCUAGGCUGUGCAGGGCUGAGCAGUAGGGAAGAAAGCCACGCCGGCCUUGUGGUGUCAGAAAGAUGGAGUACUCCCGUGACAAUGACUCUUCCUGUCACCUUGGGGGGCCGGGGGCUAUAUCGGGAAGCACAGUUACAUGCUGUCCUCUGAGGGGCAUGAUUCAAUGCUGAUGGGCAGCAGGCCAGAGGUGAGGCAGGCCACCCAGAGGACACGUUCAGCUUGGCAAGGCCCCAGGGCCCCGUCCAAAGGGCACUGAAAGGCCCUUCCCAGCCCACUGAGCCGGCUCCUAGCUCCUGAUAGAGAUUCUGGAUGGGGGUGGAGUUCAGUGGGAGGACUGUAUGUCUAGGAAUGUUUCCCCAUCAAGAAUCCUAUGGGCUAGAAAAGAUCCCCAGGGUUGUCAUCACAGUCCUACAUACGCUGGUCCACGCUUUGCUCGGACAGGACAGACAGGACCUCAUUAGAGACAGAGAGUAUCAUUCGGCCUCAUUAUCUAUAAUCAGACCCUGCUCUUGGUGCAUAAAUAAGUAAUGAAGACAGUGCACUGUGAUUCUCUUUGCUCCCGGGUCAGCUUCAAAGGCUGCACCUGUCCCUCUCGAGCCUAUACUCCAGAGCUUCUGACUCCAGACCCCAAAUCUCAAUUAAUGCAAAACUGGCCCCCCAGCAGUGCUCUCUCAGAUGUGCUGGAUUAUGUCCAUUAGGCCCCAAUGAAGGCACUGGGAGAUCCGGGAUAUUCAGGCAAGAUAGUAGCCUCCCAAAAUAUCUGGUCUCUGGGCCUUUAUCCCGGGCUCAUAUUAGCAAAGGCAACUGAGGAAGGAAGACUCCAGCAAAUCCAAAGUUUCAGAGAGUUCUGUCUUUACCCGGAGUUACCUUGUUACUGAAAAUGACUGUGGUCUUUCAUAAUUACUCCAACAAAAAUGCAGCCGCCAAUGAGCUCCCUGUGCUCAAUUAGCUUAUAAUAGUCAGUAAGAGAGCUGCUGAAGUUUAAUCCAACUACCCCAGAAGACUUUUUAUCCCAACUACCUAAUGAAAACUUUAGAAUUUGCUUUUUUUUUUUUCCCCUUGUCCCAGGCAAGUGAAAGAAUUCCAAUCAAAACGGGACUGGUUUGGGGGAAGGAGGAGGGAGUGCGUUAACUACUGGGGAAAAGUCUGGAAGACAUGUCUUUGUCAGGUUGAAUCCUGGAGAGAGCCAACAAAAGGAGCCCCUGACUACAGAGGCCAAGGAGGCCCACAGCCAUCACAGGGAUUGGAGGACUCCCAAGUGCAAGAAACUGGGCUCUAAGUCUCUGCCAGGUGGCUAUGGGCGGAGGAGGAUGAGGAGGAAAGAGAUGCCUGCCUGGAUGGUUCUAGCUCACAGAAGUUCUUGCUUCCUCUUGUCCAGAAAGCCAAACCAUGCAUCCUGAGCCCUUCACUUCUUCAACAGAUAUUUCCUGAGAGCCUGCUAUGUGUCCCGCUGUGAGGAUGCAACAGAGCACACUACUGACAAGGUCCCCGCCUUCCAUCCUUGUCUUCUCAUCCAGAUUGCUGACUCCUGGGGCUGGAGGGAAGCAGGCAGCACCUCAGGUCUGUUCCUUACCAUGUGCCCAUCCGCAUGCCUGCUCACUCACCCAUUAGGUUAUUUUUCAAAUGACUGAGUUAUAACCACCAUUCAGGUUACUAAGCGAGGUAGUAUAGGGGACACAAAUAAAUCACAUGUUCUCAAGAAGCUUACAGUCUAGUAGGCAAAAAAGGCCAAGCAAAUAAAUAGCUAUGUAACAAAGAAGGUGACAGGUGCCAUAAGAGGGGAUAGAUAAAUGGCUAAGAGCGAUCAGAUGGAGGGCGGCCUCUUGUCCUGCCCAGACAGACACAUCCUAGGGCUGAGUCGGCUGACUUUUCAAAAGAGAAGAGAAAAAGGAACGCUCGCCGGUCGGGCACCAGGCCUAGCAUGGGAAACAGGCAGGACCUAUUUAAAACAACUAGAGCCAGGUUAGAGCCUUUUCUGGCAAGUCCCAAAACUCCUGGAGCUGAUCAGAUAACCAGAUAGAACCAAUACUGUCAAAAUCCUAUGGAUUUUAAAAAAUCAUUUAGCUGUUGCCGGGAUGAUAAAAGAAUCUUGCCAUUCAAAGGGAAGGUGCAGGCUCAGAGGAAGGAGGGGUCGCUGGGAGAGCAGGAGGGGGCUGGGGAGAAAAGGGAACGCCCUACAAAUAUAGAUCAGGGUUAGGGAGAAAAACCAGACGGCCAAGGACAUUUAUGCAUUGUGGUUGCUUUACUACCUAAUUAAUUCAGUAAUUUCAAAAACAAUUUUAUUUAUGUUCCAUUUACCACAUCAAAGGUGAAAAAAAUCCUACUGAUGCUAAAAUAAUACCUCAAGGCAUCUAUUUUUAAUCAGUUAAAAAAAAAAAAAGCAAGGGGUAGAGGGAGAAUUUAAAAAAAAAAAAAAACAAAAAAACUCGCCCUGGUUUCUAUACAAUCUCUCCUGGGCAGACCACCAACCCUCAGAGAGAGAGAGAGAGAGAGAAAACACAGCCAAGCCCUCUCUGAGAGCCUUCCUGGCUGCUGAAAACCAAGCUUGUCAAAAAAAAAAAAAAAAAAAAACCAAAAAAAAAAAAAACCACAAAUCCAUAAUGGCCCGAGGCUCCUCUCCAAUCUAUUUUCUGCUCAGCUGGUUUUAAAUGAAGUUAUUAUGAGUCAUUAAAACACCCGCAAGCCAGUGGAAGUCAGCCAAUUACAAUUUUAAAUUUAGCCUGUUCUCUGCCCCAUUCUCUUGUUUUCUUCCUUUGCCCACAGAAUGCUGCUGCUGUUAUUUUUUCCCUCCCUUCCUUUACCCAAAGUGAAAGAGACAGUUAUGAAAAUGCAUAGUAUUGCACGGAGCACAGAAUCAUUCAUAUGAAACUCAAAUUAUUAGACAAAAAAAUGCAAACUUCUGCCCCCUCCAAAGUCAACCCAAGCCUUGCCUCAGCCCACUGGAUUCCUCGGAAACUCCAGUCUGAGCCCCAAAGGUCAUGGGGCUAUUUUUAAAAUGAAAAGGUUCUUCAGUGGGGUCUUGUUGAGAAAUGUUCACAUCCAUCACACAAAAUCAACAUUUUCAUGGCUGAAUCCAAAAGGUAGAAACACACCACCACCAUCUGAGAAUUAAUAACAAACAAUGAAGUUGAAAUUCAAAGGUAAAGCAGGCUUUGCAAUCAAGCAUGAAUGUCGGUAGAAGUCACUCGAUAUGAUGAGCUCAUUUAGUUUUUAAAUCUUCAAGGUAAUGGUCUGUGCGGGCCCAUUACAGCAAAGGAACAAAUUUGAGUAUUUCAUGUAAAUGCUUCUUCUCAAUCUCUUUUUGUUCCCAUGCUUGGACACACAAACACACACAUGCACACAUGGUGUUCUGAUUAGGACUGUGUCCCCGAUUUCUAGGAGACACUGCAGCUUUUCCAUACCCUCCAACAAGUGAGUCCCUCUACCCAAAGGACUGUCCAAUCCUGCAAUCUUCACCAACCUCAUUUAAUGGAUGAGUCUGCAAGCUCCACAGAACAGAUGCCCAGAUGUCUGCAAACACCUUCCAUCACCUCCAGGCCCCCUCUCCCUCAUGGUUACACACACACACACACACACACACACACACACACACACACACACACGUAGACCAGUCCUCUGCCCCACGAUACUUGCAGUUCUAUGCCCCAAGAACGCAGGAGAGCCACAGCCACAGACCUAGGCAGUUGAACACCUGGGAGAGGAGUGAAUGCCAUGCCAUUUCACUGACAGUCACCGAGGGUUAGUGUGGAGGCCAGGAUGCUACCAAGAGUGGCUGCCUACCUGGUUGCUCUGGGUGAGCUGGAACUCAGGGUCCAUCCCUACCAAGCAACCUCACUGAGAAGAGCAUGUGAAAUACCAUGAUGUUUCCAGGCCCAUUGCGACCUGCAGCCAUUUGCCAAAGGCUUGACCUCUAUGGAACAUAAACCUGAGGCCUGUGAGCACAGAUGUCCCAGGUUCUGAAGGUCCCCAGAGCUGGGCAGAUGACACCCUCCUAUCCUCAGCCCUGAGCCACCCCACUAAGUAGUUCCAAGUGAGACCCCUCAACAGCAACCUCUCAAGUGGUUCACCCAGGCCUGUUCUCCCGGAAGCCAGUAAAGCUGAAGCUUCAGGCCUCUCCCUGGCACUGACCCCUUUCCUGGGAGAGGCUCUAACACCUGGUAUUUAUAAUCCUUUUCUGAGAGACAGCACCCAAAACUGAGUACGCUUCAGGCCCCACCAAACCCAGAUCUGCCCUAGUAGUACAAACACUUUUAUAACAGGAUAUUCAUUUAUUUGACAGAUACUAUCAGUGCACAACACUCCUAUGUACCAGGCACUUUGCUAGGGCAUGAGUAUGUGAGGGCAGCUGCUGAGUCCUGCACUCAGGUGCACAGUACUGGCCCAGGAGAGCACAGUACCAGCAAAGUCCAAUAAGGGCCUUGUAAAGCCUAACCCUGCUAAACUACUUGCCCAUUCUCAACACAACUGGGAUUUGGGGGGAACAUCCAGGGACCUGGGAAAAGCAGGGGCCAAGCCAGAGAAGCCCCACUCUGGCCCCUGAGAGGCAAGGGACAAGAGCACAUGAGAUUCUAGGUGCUGGGAGCAUUCUAGGGACACUGGCUCAAGAGUCCUCCCCUCUGGGGAGACCUCUGGGCCAGAGUGACAUUUUGUUUUCCAUUCCAACCACUGCCCAGCUUCCAAGCUAAAAAAAACUUUGAGGUGGUGGGUUAGGACAGGGAGGCAGGGAGGCAGGGAGAGACAGAGACAGAGACAAAGACAGAGAAAGAGAGAGACAGAGAAAAGACCAACGAAGACAGAUGGAGACAAAGACAGAUGAAGACAUAAGAAGGAAGACAGAAAAUACACAGGAGUGUCAAGAAAAGGCCGAGGCUGACACAGACACAAAGGACAGGGACAAAGAGAUGAAGUGAGAUGAAAGCAGAUUGGGGAGAAAUAGAAGGAGAAGAGAAGAGCUGAAAAAUAAAUACCUGCCACCACAGAGACCUGGACAAGAGCACUGAAAGUAAGGGCCGCAGUAGCGUGAUGGAUGCCCAAAGCAGGGUGGGGCCCCUCAGGCACAGCCCUGGAUACAGAUACCCAGGCCCAGCCUGGUUAGAGGGCUAGGGAAUGGGGCUGAGGGCAAGAGAAAGCACGGCCAGGCCUCCUAAGAACGCUUCCGGCAGGGUGUGUGUCUGCGAAGCCAAGGGAAGACGAAAAGGCCCUGGAAAUCAGAAAUGGCAUUGCCAUUAUCAGGUUGAUCCCACGUAAAUAUCCCUCCCCAAUAACCCCAUAUCUAUUCAUCCUCAGACAAUAACAAGGACCAGCAAGGCAACCCAGAACGUAGGAAGGAUGGCAGGAGCAAAGGAGAGGAAAGGGAGACUAGGAGAAUAAAUGGCAGACAGACAGAUGUCCCAGCAUCCAUCCCUCUAGGGCACCAUUCAUUUCCUAAUAAGACCGUCAUCCUCUAGCUGUGCAAAAUCAUGUGGUGGCAUGAGACAGGGUUUGUGUGGAAGAAACCACCCUAUGCUGAGAUAGAAAAAUCAUCGAGAGAGGGAGAAGGAAGAAGGUUAUUACAUAAUUUCCACUUUCUUCCCUCCACCCUCAAAGUAAUGUUCUAUCUGACAGGCUCCUCUCUGAGGGGGGAAAAAUGACAAAUCCAAUCCAAAAUUCAACAGCCUGUGUUCUGUUCAGAGAGCACACAGUGUACUGUACAGCCCAUAAAACUCCAAACAGCCUCCAGACACUGCCGCAAUCGUCCUCCAUCAAAACACUUUGUCUUGCAUACAAAAAUAAGAUACAGCGCUGAACAGAAUACAAAAUCAGCCCAUUACAGUACAGGGAGACUGCUACUUAGCAACGAGGGGGCUCUAAAGCCUCGAUGCUCUACAGGAAGCAAAAUCUGUCGAGCCUGUUGGGCAAACGAUAAACAUUAGCAGUAUUAAAAAACACAAAAGCCAUGUAAAUGGAUAGACAUAAUGUGGAAACAAAUUUAUAGAAUAAAUUGGGAUGGGGGAUUUGCGGGGUGGGAGGAGAUGCUGGGAUCCAGAGGGGUAGAUGGAACGAGCUUCCCCAACCCCUGCUAAGGCACCAUAUGGAGACAGAGACAUGUGUAUUUGGGGGCAGGGACAUGUGAACCCCCUCUUCACACAGGGGCUGUAGGUGAAGGGGUGGGAGAGAACUGGUGAAAACACUGUUUAAAACCAUGACCUGCAAUGAACUUUCCCAACUUUCUCGGUUCAGCUGGCCUGACUAGGACCGGGGGACCCAGGCACGCAAAACCGCAGCACUAAGGUGGCAGUUACGUGGGGGAUUUAUCUGCCCUGGGGCCAGCAUCGCACCCAGCACCAUCAUGGAACCUGAUACUUGCUGUAAACAAAAUCCCUGGCCAAAAAACAAAAACCAAAAAAAA
rnacentral:lncRNA from 1 species